CUCUUUAUGGGAGAGGCCACAGGGGAAUAUUUUGCACAGGGGGGGACAUCGUGAUACAGCAACCCCGUGGGAGAGAAAAACUUUUGUGUGUUAAAAACCUCUUUGGGGUAGGAAUAAAAUGGCGGUCCCCCGAGAGGAACCCCGGGAAAUAUGUGCCCCAGCAGCCGGGGUAAUAUAGGGGGGGCGAGUUGUUUCGAAUUUUUGGGGUAAAAAGGGUGUAGAGGGGGCUCAUAAGCGUGAGGAAAAAGGCAAUGGCUUAACCAUUGUGAGCCUCGCGAACUGGGUGGCUUGAGUGCAGGAGAGGAAAGCGGAAUUCCUAGUGUAGCGGUGAAAUGCGUAGAUAUUAGGAGGAACACCAGUGGCGAAGGCGGCUUUCUGGACCGCAACUGACACUGAGGCACGAAAGCGUGGGGAGCAAACAGGAUUAGAUACCCUUAUUGUCCACGCGUAAAACGAUAGCUAUAGGUGGGGGGGUUGCAUGCCUUCGGUGCCGCAGUUAACGCA
rnacentral:rRNA from 1 species